rnacentral:rRNA from 1 species
GAGCCUGGCUCAGGAUGAACGCUAGCUACAGGCUUAACACAUGCAAGUCGAGGGGCAGCAUGGUCUUAGCUUGCUAAGGCCGAUGGCGACCGGCGCACGGGUGAGUAACGCGUAUCCAACCUGCCUUACACUCUUGGACAGCCUUCUGAAAGGGAGAUUAAUACAAGAUGUUAUCAUGAGUAAGCAUUUUCGCAUGAUUAAAGGUUUACCGGUGUAAGAUGGGGAUGCGUUCCA